CAUCCAAGGUCUAUACUUCGCUGAGUCAACCACCAGAGUUUCAGCCGUCAAUUUUGCCCCUUUCAACCCUUCAUUGCCACCAGUUUCUUCUUUAUCCUUGUUCGAAAAUGAACAAAGCUCCUUCACGUGACCGUUCCUUUCGCAAGAGAAGCAAAUGGAAAGUAAUCGGGCAAGCCCUGUAGUCGUAUCCACGCCAUGACCAUUGUCGGGAAGGGUUGAAAUGGGUUAAACUCCAUUGUCCACGGUUGAACAGUAAGAUAUUGACAGAAGACGAUUCAAGGUCCCUGGAUAAGAGCUUUCUCAUAAUCUUCUUUGUUUUGUAGUUUUACGAGAAAAUACUCAUUUUCCACAUCCAUGAUUCGAAACGAUUUUGAAGGACGUCAUAGACUCAGAACCCUAUUUAGCAGAGUGAUAUAGCCAAUGCUAUGUCCCAAGAGCUUAACCACUAUAGUAGUUUCCAUAUCCUUUAAAAGAAACUUUUGAACCCUAUCUGAGAAAGAAAUCGCAAAGAUACCAUUUAUUGAGGAUUUUGUAAAGUCUCAUUCAACAAAAUAAAAAACUACACCACCACUUCCCUUGGAUCUUUCUCGAAGUCAAUUAGCGUGCAAUCAACCCUAUUAGCAUGCCAAUCGUAUCUUAUCCUACGUUCAUUUGGACUCAAUACACAUAUCAAAACAUUUAAUACAA